ACUGAUGCAGUCAGCAAGUUUUUUAACUGGCUGUAGUUCUUUCGGGAGCUAUGGUCGAUUUCCUUGCCCGAAAGGGUUGGGUAAUCUUUUGAAACUGCAUCGUGAUGGGGAUCGACCUUUGUAAUUAUCGGUCGUGAAC
rfam:Allomyces macrogynus ATCC 38327 genomic scaffold supercont3.15, whole genome shotgun sequence.